rnacentral:rRNA from 1 species
UGGCGCACGGGUGAGUAACGCGUAGGCAACCUGCCUUUUGCUGGGGAAUAACAUUGCGAAAGUGGUGCUAAUACCGCAUGAUGCAGCGGAUCCGCAUGGAUAUGUUGUUAAAGACUUCGGUCGGCAAAAGAUGGGCCUGCGUGCCAUUAGCUAGUUGGUGAGGUAACGGCUCACCAAGGCGAUGAUGGCUAGGGGGUCUGAGAGGAUGGUCCCCCACACGGGAACUGAGACACGGUCCCGACUCCUACGGGAGGCAGCAGUGAGGAAUCUUGCGCAAUGGGCGAAAGCCUGACGCAGCCACGCCGCGUGCCGGAAGAAGGUCCUAUGGAUUGUAAACGGCUUUUGUCAGGGAAGAAUCCCCGGGUUUUGAUCUGGGUUGACGGUACCUGAUGAAUAAGCACCGGCUAACUCCGUGCCAGCAGCCGCGGUAAU